rnacentral:rRNA from 1 species
UACGUAGGGUGCAAGCGUUGUCCGGAAUUAUUGGGCGUAAAGAGCUUGUAGGCGGUUUGUCGCGUCUGCUGUGAAAUUUCGGGGCUCAACCCCGAACUUGCAGUGGGUACGGGCAGACUAGAGUGUGGUAGGGGAGAAUGGAAUUCCCGGUGUAGCGGUGAAAUGCGCAGAUAUCGGGAGGAACACCGGUGGCGAAGGCGGUUCUCUGGGCCUUACCUGACGCUGAGGAGCGAAAGCAUGGGGAGCGAACAGG